rnacentral:rRNA from 1 species
CCUACGGGAGGCUGCAGUGAGGAAUAUUGGUCAAUGGACGAGAGUCUGAACCAGCCAAGUAGCGUGAAGGAUGACUGCCCUAUGGGUUGUAAACUUCUUUUAUAUAGGAAUAAAACAGGGUAUGCAUACCCUCUUGUAUGUACCAUAUGAAUAAGGAUCGGCUAACUCCGUGCCAGCAGCCGCGGUAAUACGGAGGAUCCGAGCGUUAUCCGGAUUUAUUGGGUUUAAAGGGAGCGUAGGUGGAUUGUUAAGUCAGUUGUGAAAGUUUGCGGCUCAACCGUAAAAUUGCAGUUGAAACUGGCAGUCUUGAGUACAGUAGAGGUGAGCGGAAUUCGUGGUGUAGCGGUGAAAUGCUUAGAUAUCACGAAGAACUCCGAUUGCGAAGGCAGCUUACUGGACUGCAACUGACACUGAUGCUCGAAAGUGUGGGUAUCAAACAGGAUUAGAUACCCGUGUAGUC